UACGGAGGGUGCAAGCGCUAUCCGGAUUCACUGGGUUUAAAGGGUGCGUAGGUGGGUUGGUAAGUCAGUGGUGAAAUCUCCGAGCUUAACUUGGAAACUGCCAUUGAUACUAUUAAUCUUGAAUAUUGUGGAGGUCAGCGGAAUAUGUCAUGUAGCGGUGAAAUGCUUAGAGAUGACAUAGAACACCAAUUGCGAAGGCAGCUGGCUACACAUAUAUUGACACUGAGGCACGAAAGCGUGGGGAUCAAACAGG
rnacentral:rRNA from 1 species